GACGAACGCUGGCGGCAUGCCUAAUACAUGCAAGUCGAACGGUGACGAGAGCUUCGGCUCUCUGAUCAGUGGCGGACGGGUGAGUAACACGUGAGCAACCUGCCUAUCAGAGGGGGACAACAGUUGGAAACGACUGCUAAUACCGCAUAACAUCAUCGGAAGGCAUCUUCUGAUGAUCAAAGAUUUAUCGCUGAUAGAUGGGCUCGCGUCUGAUUAGAUAGUUGGCGGGGUAACGGCCCACCAAGUCGACGAUCAGUAGCCGGACUGAGAGGUUGAACGGCCACAUUGGGACUGAGACACGGCCCAG
rnacentral:rRNA from 1 species